UGUAUAAAGGCUCUUUCUUUGCUAAAUUUGUACUAUAUGUUUGUAAUUAAAAAAUGCUUUGUCUUCUAGUAUUAAUGUAGGGCACAACAAAGUGUAGAGCUGCUACAAAUUCCGGGCAGUUAAUUGACCAUUACAUAAUUUGAAAAGAAAAGCAAAUCUGUACAAAUGGUUUUCUGAUUGAAGGAAAGCAUACUAAAUCUACUGAAUUCAAGUCUAACAAUAUGAACAGUAUAGUUUGGAUACCAGAAUAGAGAGCCGCAUAAAGUAAUCGCGAUUUUAUUAGAGAAUUGAAUAAGAUGAUUCUACUUGAUAUAUUAUUGAAAUUUCUGAUGUAGCUCUUAUAAUAAAACCAAGAGAGUUUGAAGAUGACUGUAUGAUAUUAUCGAUAUGACCAGUGACACCCAAAUCACGAACAUAAUAGUUAGAAAUAAUUGUACCAUUUAAUGUAUAAUCAAAGGAGAAGCAAACAUUCAUCCCAACUAGUUACAAUGCGAAGACUAUUGCUUAAAAUGUUAACAGAUAUGUCGUUGAUAAAAAUGGAAAAAAAAAUGGAGCAAGAUUGUUACCCUGAGGAGCACCGCUAUAUGCUUUAUAAGCAUAUGAACUAAGCCCAUUAUACUCUACAAACUGGUAUCCAUCUGCCGGAUAGGAAGCAAAAAAUUGUACAAGAUUAAAAUGAAAACCAAACCUGAUAAGUUUCUGAGCCAGAAGUCCAUGGUCCAUCUUAUCAAAGGCUUUGGCGAAGUUUGUGUAAAUUAUGUCUAGUUGACAUUUAUUAUUUAUAGCCUCAUAUGUAGUCUGAAGAAAUGAUGAUACUGUAGAUCUGGAUUGAAAGAAACCAUGCUGCAUUGGUAAAAUUAAAUCUUUUACUUGGUAAAAGAGGCUAUCAAAUAGGUAAAUUUUAAAGACUUAAAGAGAAGUUUAAUAGUAUAGAAAUUGGACGAUAGUUUUCCACCACAUUUUUUCUCCCGAUUUAAAGAUGGGACAUAUUUUGG